rnacentral:tRNA from 1 species
GCAGUGGUGGUCCAGUGGUAGAAUCCUUGCCUUCCGUUCAGGAGACCCAGGUUCAAUUCCUGGCCAAUGUA